GGAGAAAAGCAGGGGAUCGUAAGACCUUGCGCUUUUGGAGCGGCCGAUGUCUGAUUAGCUAGUUGGUGGGGUAAUGGCCUACCAAAGCUUCGAUCAGUAGCUGGUCUGAGAGGACGACCAGCCACACUGGGACUGAGACACGGCCCAGACUCCUACGGGAGGCAGCAGUGGGGAAUUUUGGACAAUGGGCGAAAGCCUGAUCCAGCCAUGCCGCGUGAGUGAAGAAGGCCUUCGGGUUGUAAAGCUCUUUCAGCCGGGAAGAAAAGGCUACGACGAAUAAUCGUAGCUCAUGACGGUACCGGAAGAAGAAGCACCGGCUAACUACGUGCCAGCAGCCGCGGUAAUACGUAGGGUGCGAGCGUUAAUCGGAAUUACUGGGCGUAAAGGGUGCGCAGGCGGUUUUGUAAGUCAGAUGUGAAAUCCCCGGGCUUAACCUGGGAAUUGCGUUUGAAACUACAAAGCUAGA
rnacentral:rRNA from 1 species